CUCUAUCGGUCACGGAUUAAAUGGUGGUUGGAUUUAUUCAUGCACUUUAAAAUAAUUAUUUGAAGUUUCUUUCUUUUCAGAUUCUUAUUUACAGCUUUAUCAUAAUAGGCUGUAUAUUAACUUAUUGGGAGAAAACUGGUAGUUCUAUGUGAAAUCAGACAUUUGAGCUCCCCCAUAUUGUCAAAAUGGCAUAAUCAUAACACAACUAUUCAGGGUCACCCCUACCUAAAAGUGGUAGGUAAUUCAUUGUGUUUGACAACACUGUUCUCAGAAACUACAGGACACUCAUCCUUGUAUAAUAUACUGUAUAACAGUGGUUCUCAACGACAUUCCUGGAGGACCCCCAACACUGCACAUUUAGCAUAUCUCCUUAAAGGGAUACUCCACCCCAAAAUGAAAAUUUUGUCAUUAAUCACUUACCCCCAUGUCAUUCCAAAACUGUUCAAAAAGCUCCGUUCACCUUCAGAACACAUUUUAAGAUGUUUUGUAUGAAAACCUGCUCAUUAGUAGAGACUUACAGACUUGAAAUGGGUGUGUCAGACAAAGGAGACAUGCAAAAUGUGCAGUGUUGGGGGUCCUCCAGGAAUGUGGUUGAGAACCACUGUCGUAGAGAACUAUAGAGGCAUCUAGUGGCUACACCAUGGAAUUACAGAUUAAUUUUAAAGUAAGGAUUACCAGAAAGUUAACUUUGUGAGUUAUAACUCGUUGUUUUAAGAUUGUAAAUGUGUUUUACCUUUACUUUGCAUUGUUUGGUCCUGGUUUGUCAUGGGCGCUUCUUCCGUGACCAACGUUAAUGUUACCUCACAAAAAAAAAAAAAAAUGCUGUUGGCCAUUUUGUUUUAAGCAGUUCAGCGUCUUACUUUUCCCACAAUGCAGUGCGAAUUAGAUCGUCUUACUAAAGACAACCAUGGACUUAUUUUAUGCAACAGUCUUUCCCCACUGACUUUAGUUCGUCAGGCUAAUUCAUAGAUACACUCUUAAGUUUAUGCAACCGGCUCCCUGUUAUGGAGCUUAAGAAACAAUUGAAAUGACUUGUGGUUUACACAGUCCCUCUGGAAAUGGAAGGUCAGGUUGAGUGCAUUGCAUUAUAAGAUGCCACUGUUCUCCAUGCAGUGUGCCGCAGUUGCAUAAAGACAAGUUAGAAUUCCAGCUCCUGGUUCUUUACCAAUCACUGAAUAAAGUCUAUAGCCUGAACAGCAUGAUGGAAGCAGGAGCUCAGAAUGAUCAGUCCUGCUCCUGAAGAUCUGCUUUCCUUAAAGGUCAAGAUCCAACCAUAAACAAAUACUGGAGAUCUUCAGGAACAGGACUGAGGACGGCUUUACAUAGCUGAGUUCAAUAAGCAAAAGAUCAGACGUGGCGCCCUCUAGAGGACUCAUCAGGCCUCUAAACUGGGGAAUAUUAACAGAAAAACUGUCAUUGUUCAAAGUAAAAAUUGAUUUUUAAGCAAUUUCUUCAAAUGUAGUAACUUACGCUCUUAUAGUAUGUUUUAACCACCAAUCAAUUCUAUGUGGAUAAUCCCACCCUGUAUUUGUUUCACUGAAGAACUGGAAUUGUGUUUCUUCCACGAUAUGGAUUUUGUGAUACCAUGGAUACCGUUACAUGUUCAUGAAUUCAGAUCUUGCAUUUAUAUAGUUUUGUUCAAGUUGGUACGCUUUGCAAAGAAACAUUUGUAGGUUGAUAAAGACAACAAUGCAUAACUGUCCCAUUUAUCAAGCAGCUACUUGCCUGAUAAGUAAAUAAUUGAACGCAAAAUAUUAAUUUGACAUUUUAAUUACCUCAACAUGACUUGCAGUUCCCAUGUGAGCACUCCAUUAUCAGUUGUUGAAGUUGUGGUUGUAUCAAUAACAGACCACUAGAUGGCGUGAUUGAUGAAUCAGAGUUAUGUUGAGUUAAAUAACUCUGACACAAUGGAACAUUUCAAAUAUUCAUAAGAUAUCAAAUCAUAUUAGAAUGUGAUUUCGGGGAAGUCGUGGCCUAGUGGUUAGAGAGUUUAACUCCUAACCCUAAGGUUGUGGGUUUGAGUCUUGGGCCGGCAAUACCACGACUGAGGUGCCCUUGAGCAAGGCACCGAACCCCCAACUGAUAUCCCCGGGCACCAAAGCAUAAAUGGCUGCCCACUUCUCCAGGUGUAUGUUCACGUUGUUUGUGUGCACUUUGGAUGGGUUAAAUGCAGAGCACGAAUUCUGAGUAUGGAUCACCAUACUUGGCUGUAUGUCACAUCACUUUCACUUACUUUAGAAUGAUUUCUGAAGAAUCAUGUGACACUGAAGACUGGAGUAAUGAUGCUGAAAAUUCAGCUUUGAUCACAGGAAUACAGUAGCCUAUGUGUUAAAAAUAGAUAAUUCAAACAGAUAAUUUAAAUGGACAAUAUUUCACAAUAUUACAGUGUUUACUGUAGUUUUAAUAAAUAAAUGUAGCCUUGGUGAGCAUAUAGUCAAUAAUUACCUGAAAACUGCACAAUGGCCAAAAAAACAAUGGCACAAUAAAAAAAGACUUUUCAUGUCUAUGUUCAUUCCCUUACUUUUACCAGUUAUAUAAGGUUAAAAUAUUUUGCCUGCAUUUUUUUUUUCUUAUAUCGCAAUAUAAUAUCAAAAUCACCUGGACAGUGUAAAAUAUCGUGAUAUGAAUUUUAGCUUAUAUCGCCCACCCCUAGUGUGCGAAGAACAGCAGUAUUUUGGAGUAUGGCUCUGAGUGCACUGACACUCAGAGCCAUACUCCAAAAUACUGCUGUUCAUCGCACAUUACAUCAGUGAAUCUUUUCUGCUCUGCACUUAGUUUACUCUUGUUCUUCUGAAAAACCAUCAUGUCUGCUGCUGCUCUCCAUUCCAGGUUGCUGACGUUUUUUUAUCACUCCCAGUUUCUGCAGUUUCUACUGGAUCUGAUGACAAAAAACACUUGCUUAUGUGUUUGAUUCUCUACCGGAGGUUUGGGGAUCACUUCACCAAAGCCUGUGUGUCACCAAUGGCUGUAAAUGGAGAUAACGAGCAUCCGAUGUAAAGGCACGUUUACAAAGAAGUCGUCACUUUGACUGUUGGAACACUUUAUGACUGUUCCAAUGUGCUCUUGAGUGUGCCCUCACAUUGUGUUUAUUAAUUUUACUGCUCAGCUAACUGUGAGGUGACACGGCAGAGUACAUUUUUCAAGUGUUUAUAUGUGUAAUCGCUUUGUUAGUUGAAAUAUUUUGUUACCAUACAAAUAAAUAACGGCUCUGGUGGUCCCGCGGAUGGUUUGCUCGCGCGCAGGUAACGUUACUGCGAGUGUGGAUGAACAAAUACUGAAGUUACAGUGGGCUUCAUCAUGGGCUUCAUCGAAAAGUAAUUACUGAUUGCUUAUUAAUAUGACAAUGUCCUGUAACGGUGCUUUCAUUCACUGAUUUAAAUAUUUUCUCAAAAAUGUUAAAUUAGAUAAAAUAAAACUAUUUACUUAUUGAUUUUGUAUUUUUUCAAAUAUUUUUGUUGUAUAGAUUUGAUGCUAAGUAAAAAUGUGAGUUUACUUUUAUAAGCCACUUUUUUGUGUGUGAAAAUAUUAACUUUUUCUGUGUGUG
ensembl:lncRNA